rnacentral:piRNA from 1 species
AAACCUAGUGCAUACAGUAAACAUUAC